rnacentral:rRNA from 1 species
UACGUAGGGGGCAAGCGUUAUCCGGAUUUACUGGGUGUAAAGGGAGCGUAGACGGCUAAAUAAGUCAGAUGUGAAAGCCCAGGGCUCAACCCUGGGACUGCAUUUGAAACUAUGUAGCUAGAGUGCAGGAGAGGUAAGUGGAAUUCCUAGUGUAGCGGUGAAAUGCGUAGAUAUUAGGAGGAACACCAGUGGCGAAGGCGGCUUACUGGACUGUAACUGACGUUGAGGCUCGAAAGCGUGGGGAGCAAACAGG